rnacentral:lncRNA from 1 species
AGAUCAGAUCAACCAUUGGCUUGCCCUCUAAUAAAGUCAGCUGAAAGUGACUGCUCAAGUUUCUUCAAGAUGCCUGCAGCACUUGUGGAGAACAGCCAGGUUAUCUGUGAAGUCUGGGCCAGCAAUCUAGAAGAAGAGAUGAGGAAGAUCCGAGAAAUUGUGCUCAGCUAUAGUUAUAUUGCCAUGGUAAAGAGCUCCACUCUUUCUAACUCACCUUCUGCUGCGGACUUAGGGAAUACUCAGUGUGAGAUUUUGAAGGAAAGACUUCCACCAAAGCCAUGGUAAAUUAAACUUGGUGGAAGGUUGUGAAGCUUUUAUGAAACCUCAAGGUAGCCAGUGGGUCUGAGAAGGAUGUAACCUCUAGUAUCUUAGACUUUUUGUAAUGUUACUCUGUAUUGACAAAUGUUUAAGGCAAAAGUUGUGUUAGCCAGUAGGGCACAUCUAUACCACAGAUGCGGUGAAUUUGACAGUGUUUUUUUAAAAAUUAGUUAUCAGCAUUUAAAUAUAGAGAGACCUCUCUUAAAGCCCAGAUUUCUGGUAUCUCUGGAAAACACUGGGAAGAUCUGGCAUGGGAUUCGCAUUCUUGCCUGGCGGUGAGUGGCUGGAGAGGCAGAUGUGUGUCAUGGUGAUACCAACGGCCUCUUCUAGAGGAGGAUGUACCUUCUGUGCUCCAGUCCCCAUUACUCAUAAGCAUUACGUCUUUAGCCUUGUAUUUAAAAUUCUCUGUGGUCUUGUUCCAGGCUUUUUACUCAAGGUAAGUAUAGCAGUUGUUUCUUUAAAUUACUGUUUCACUUCCCCAUAUUUGUAUUUUUGUUCAUACUUUGUUCUUAAUCUAGACUUUUUUUAAUUCACUGUAUACGAACCUAGCAUGUCCUUAAUUGAUCUAUAGUUAGUCAGCCGCUCUUACAUCCUGCCUAGGAUCUCCUCUAAGUUGCUGCACAAAGCUUCAUGAUUCUAGUGCUCCUUCUGUAGAUAUCAGUGAAAUCAAUAUUUAAUUUUUAAAAAUAUUUAUUUAUUUUUGAGAGAAAGAGAGCGAGUGGGGGAAGCGCAGAGAGGGGCACAGAGGAUCCUAAGUGGAGUCAGUGCUGACAGCAGAGAGCCCGACGUGAGGCUCGAACUCAUGAACUGUGAGAUCAUGACCUGAGCUGAAGUUGGAUGCUGAGUUGACUAAGCCACCCAGGUGCCCCAAAAUCAUAUAUUUCUUUAAAUAAUUUUUUUAAUGUUUAUUUAUUUUUGAGGUAGAGACAGAGCAGGAGUGAGGGAGGGGCAGAGAGAGAGGAAGGCAUACGAUCCAAAGCAGGCUCCAGGCUCUGAGCUGUCAGCAUAGAGCCCAAUGCAGGGUUUGAACCCACAAAACCGCGGGAUCACGACCUGAGCUGAAGUCGGAUGCUCAAUCGACUAAGCUACCCGGGCGCCCCCCAAAAUCAAUUAUUUUAAGAUAGGUUUUUGUGCCCAACCUUGGGCUUGUCAUAUAACUUUUAUAAAUUGAGAUAAAAUUUUUAUGAAUGAUAAAUUCAGCGUCCACUGUUUUGUGAAACCUAAUGAUGACAGACCUUUUCCUUUUCUAGGACACAGAAUUUCCAGGUGUUGUGGUGCGACCAAUUGGUGAAUUUCGUAGUUCCAUAGAUUACCAGUAUCAGCUUUUACGGUGCAAUGUUGACCUUCUAAAAAUUAUCCAGCUGGGCCUUACAUUCACAAAUGAAAAGGGAGAAUAUCCUUCUGGAAUCAACACUUGGCAGUUCAACUUCAAAUUUAAUCUUACGUAAGUGAGACGCUUCUCGGUGUUAUUCUUAGAUCUGCUACAUUUGUACAGACUGUGAUCUCUAACUGAUUUUAUUAAUUUAAAGUUUUCUUUCUGUUGAAACCAGGUAAGGAUUGGACACAGCAGCCAAACAGAGAAUGGAAUAAGGAAUCUCAGAAAGUAAAGUCCCUCUUAAAGAACACUUACAGGUCAACAAUAAAAAGACAACUCAAUUAAAAAUGGGCAUCAGAUCUGACUAGAAAUUUCUCCAAAGAAGAUAUAGAUAUGGCUAAUAAACCCAUGAAAAGAUGGUCACCACCACUAGUCAUGAGGGAAAUAAAUGUAAAUCAAAACCACAGUGAGCCACCCACUGGGUGGCUAUAAUGAGAAAGACACAAGAACAAAUGUUGGCAAGGGUGUAGAGGAAUUAGAAUCCUCACACAUUGCUAUUGGGAAAGUAAAAUGGUGCAGCCUCUUUGGAAAAUAGGCAGUUUCUCAAAAGGUUAAACAGAGAGUUACCAUAUGUCCCAGUAAUUUCUUUUCUAGGCAUAUACCUCAGAGAAAUGGAAACACACAUCCAUACAAAAACUUGUAUGUGGUGAAUGUUCAUUACAACAUUAUAUGUAAAGGCCCUAAAGUGGAAACUAUCCAGAUGUUUGUGAACUGAUGAAUGGAUACAAUAAAUGUGGUAUAUCCAGGCAGCGGAUUAUUGGACAGUAAAAGAAAGAAGUACUAAUACAUGUUGUAUAUUGAUGUGCUUUGAAAACAUUAUGCUAAGGGAAAAAAGCCAGACACAAAAGACCACGUAUUGUAUGAUUUUGUUUAUAUGAAAUGUUCAAAAUAGGCAAAUCUGUAGAGUCAGAAUAGGUUAGUGGUUGUCUAGAGUAUAGGGGGGUUAUGUUAUGGGGUAGUGGGGAAUGAUUGCAUAAUAGGUAUGGGUUUUCUUUUUGAGGUGAUGAAGUGGCCUGUGGUGGUGGUUGCACAACUCUGAAAAUGUUGAAAACUGUUGAAUUGUAUAUUUAAAUGAGUGAAUUGUUUAGUUACGUGAAUUAUAGUUGUUUAAAGUGAAAAAGUAAAGUCAGUUCCCCAGUUAGGGGAUCAGUGUUUGAAUUGCAUUUCUGCCAUUUUUUAGCUGGGUGGUUUGGAGUUCAUUUUAUCUUCUGUAAUUCAGUUUCCUUAUCUGUAAAAUAAGAUUACUAUGUUUCAUAACAGAAGAAAUAAGCUAUAGAGUAGAUGCUAAUCAAGAGUAGGUGAAACUGAAGCCUGAUAGUGGGCAAAUUUUGAUGUUUCAGAAACGUGGGUAAAAAAAUACAUAACAUAAAAUUUGCCAUCGUAACCAUUUUUAAGUUUGCAGUUCAGUAGUGUUAAGUAAGUUUGCAUUGUUGUGAAACAGAACUCCAGAACUCUCUCGCAAAUCUGACACUCUACCCACUAAACAGCUCUCCUUUUUCUUUUUUUUCUCCAGCUCUUGGUAACUACCGUACUACUUUCUGUUUCUGUCUAUUUUAGAUACCUCAUAUAAAUGGAAUCACCCAGUAUUUGUCUUUUUGUGACUGGCUUAUUUCACUUAACAUAAUAUCCUUAAGGUUCAUCCAUGUUGUGGCAUGUCAGAAUUUCCUUUGUUUUUAAGACUGAAUAACAUUCCGUUGUAUGUUUAGACCACAUUUGUUUACCUGUUCAUCCACUGAUGGACAUUCGAUUGUUUCCACCUCUUGACUUUUUGAGUAUUGCUGCUAUGAACAUAGAUGUGCAGAUAAUCUUCAUGACCCUGCUUUUAGUUCUUUUGGAUAUAUACCCAGAAGUGGGAUUGCUGGAUCGUUUGGUAGUUCUGUUUUUACGUUUUUGAGGAUGAUAUAAUUUUUUAUGGGGAAAAAUUAGGGGAGACUAUCAUUUUGCUGAUUGUAUGAGGUGGUUUUAGUGUAUUUCUUACUGGACCACAGUUCUUGAAUACUGCAUUCUUUAACGGGGCACCAGGAGCAUUUGGUAGCUCAGGAAUAAUUUUUUGAUUGUUCAUGUGCUUUGGAGAUUUCUUUGAGGUCCUGGAAUAAUUUGGGGAGACGAUCUGGAUUUUUCCUUUAACUUCCUUUCCUUUUUCCGUUAAUUCUUUUUUUUUUUUUUUGUCCAUUGUCAAAGCCUGUUAUUUAUACCUUAAUGGUAAUUAAUACACAAAGGAAAAUAAAAAAUUCCCUAGUUGUCUUUUAAGUUUAUGUGAAAAACAAAUGAAAGGAAAAAAAAUAGUGAAAUCUAAUGGAAAAGAAGUUAACGUAAUGGAAGGAUCCAUCAGAAAAUGAUGUCUUUUUCCCCCUACUUUUGUGAUAGGUGGUAUUAUAAAUAUUCCUGUGUUUAAAUUGAUGGAUGUAUCUUUGCAGUGGAGUAUUAUGCCAGAGUUGCAAAGGAUGUGUAUUUAUCAGUAUUGGUCUGGAAAGAUGGUCUGUGCUAUGUAGGUGUAGAGAUGGAGGUUGUUGUGUACAUGGAGAAAAUAGUCUGAAGGCUAUAUAAAAUGAGUUAACAGUUAUUUCUGUGAGGUGGUAUUAUAAGAACAUUUUUAAGAGUAUUCUAUUUUAAAUGUUUUUGUAUUGGUUGAUUCUGUUUUUCUUUAAACAGUGAGAAGUGUGGACCUUUUGUAUUUAAGAAAUUUAUUUUGUGGGGGCAAAUCUCACUUUUCCAUCUGCCGCAGAGAUAAGAUUAUCUACUUUGCAUGCUUGUUGGAAUAUUGGAAAGAAUGAAUUGAUCUGUUCUUAAAUUAUGAAAGCCUUUCAAGGAUACCUGUUCUGUAAUCAUAAGAUGUUAAUUUUAAGGUGAUGUUAACAUUGCUGCCCACUACUUCUGUUAGAUUAUCCACCACUAAGAAGUGAAUACCUUCUUUUUUAGAGAGGACAUGUACUCCCAGGAUUCCAUAGAUCUCCUUGCUAACUCAGGACUACAAUUUCAGAAGCACGAGGAGGAGGGGAUUGACACAUUGCACUUUGCAGAGCUGCUUAUGACAUCAGGGGUGGUUCUCUGUGACAACGUCAAAUGGCUUUCAUUUCAUAGGUCAGUCUCAGAGCAUCUAUAUUUCUCUUUCUUUGGCAGCAGGGGAUUGCAUUCUGAUGUUAUUUUUGCAGUACUGAUUGCUAUCUUCUUCCGGUGACUUAUGAAGCAGUUAUGAAAUUGAAGUGGUAACUGGCCCAUGUUUCAGUUUUUCAAAAAGUACUUUGGAGCACAUACUGGUUUGUUUCAUACAGUAUUGGGUUCUGUCAUAUGGCUAUCAGUGGGUACAUUCCAAGUGGAAAGAUGGAGGAGGGGAGAUCAAAGCACUUGAUCAUCUUUUUCUCUUAAAUGAAUGGCCUGGAAUUUCCUAGGUACUCCAAAGACAGAUUCCUCUUAAGAGAUGUUAAUUUACAUUUUCAGUACUUUAGAAUUUUUGGUGGAUAAAACCCACAUUUUUAAACCCUUGGGUUCUCUUAUAUGUCUCUCAUAUUAGUGUGGUUUGUUAGUAUUUAAUAGAAAGUUGAGAUUACAGUAGGAUAAACUAGUUUGGAACACUGAAAGUUACUCACGGGGAGUAUCAUUAAGUUUUGAGAAAUAAAGCAGUUGAAUGCUGGGGCCUGGUAACUGCUGUUUUUUCACUCCUUGCCUCAUUUUCUGUUGUAGUGGCUAUGAUUUUGGCUACAUGGUAAAGUUACUUACGGAUUCUCGUUUGCCAGAAGAGGAACAUGAAUUCUUUCAUAUUCUGAACCUUUUUUUCCCAUCUAUUUAUGAUGUGAAAUACUUGAUGAAGAGUUGCAAAAAUCUUAAGGUACACAAUAUAUAUAUUUUUUAAUUUUUUUCUUAAUGUUUCUUUAUUUUCGAGAGAGAGACAGAGACAGAGCAUGAGAGAGAGACUGAGAGCAUGAGUGGGGGAGAGGCAGAGAGAGAGGGAGACACAAAAUCUGAAGCAGGCUUCAGGCUCUGAGCUGUCAGCACGGAGCCCGAUGUGGGGCUCGAUCUCACAAACUGUGAGAUCAUUACCUGAGCCCAAGUCGAACACUUAACCGACUGAGCCACCCAGGUGCCCCUACAAUAUUUUCUUAAUAUUAGUAACAACAACAAAGACAAAAAAGCAGACUUGUCAUUUGGCUUCAUUGCUGUUUUUAGAAAUUAUUUGUCAUUGUUCUGCAUUCUUGAGCACCAGCUAGGUGCCAACAUGGUGCUAUAGAAGUACAUAUAGAGCUGAUUGGCACAGGGAUUUGUGUGGUGAAUGUCUUUAAUCUGGGUAUGAAGGGAGCCCUCUGCUUCUCUCAUCUUGAGGGAGGAGUUCUUCACUUAGGGCCCACAAACCUAGUGAAACAGUUGGCACCGUGAGGUGUAUGUGCAGUUUGUUAAGGAUGGGGUCUGGAGCGCACCAGACUCUCAGAUGGAUUCGUAACUUGAGAUAGUUCAAGAACUCAACACCCUAAUAAAUUGUUGACAUAAGAGAUUUGCUGUCUAGAAUUGGAUUGGUAUUGACUAUUUGCUCAGUUUUUAUAGCAGUUAGGACUUUAAAAUGGGGCAGAGGUCUAACACUAUUAAUAGUGUAUAAAAGAAAGGAGUUGAAAGUGAAAUAUAACACAGUAUAUUGUAUGGAGGGCUGAACAGGGGAUAUUGCUGGGGUAAUAAGGCCUUAGCAAAUGGCUCCCACUUGUCAUUCCCAAAAUAAUUAAACACAAGAAUGGACUUAGUUGACUCCAGUAGACGAGUGGCGGGUCUGAAAUAUUAUCUUUAUUUUCUUUACAUC